rnacentral:rRNA from 1 species
GAUGAACGCUGGCGGCGUGCCUAGUACAUGCAAGUCGAGCGAACGGACGAGAAGCUUGCUUUUCUGAUGUUAGCGGCGGACGGGUGAGUCACACGUGGAUAACCUACCUAUAAGACUGGGAUAACUUCGGGAAACCGGAGCUAAUACCGGAUAAUAUUUUGAACCGCAUGGUUCAAAAGUGAAAGACGGUCUUGCUGUCACUUAUAGAUGGAUCCGCGCUGCAUUAGCUAGUUGGUAAGGUAACGGCUUACCAAGGCAACGAUGCAUAGCCGACCUGAGAGGGUGAUCGGCCACACUGGAACUGAGACACGGUCCAGACUCCUACGGGAGGCAGCAGUAGGGAAUCUUCCGCAAUGGGCGAAAGCCUGACGGAGCAACGCCGCGUGAGUGAUGAAGGUCUUCGGAUCGUAAAACUCUGUUAUUAGGGAAGAACAUAUGUGUAAGUAACUGUGCACAUCUUGACGGUACCUAAUCAGAAAGCCACGGCUAACUACGUG